GUGAGGAAUAUUGGUCAAUGGGCGCAAGCCUGAACCAGCCAUCCCGCGUGAAGGAAGACGGCCCUAUGGGUUGUAAACUUCUUUUGUACAUGAAGAAAGGGACCUACGGGUAGGUUCGUGACGGUAAUGUACGAAUAAGCAUCGGCUAACUCCGUGCCAGCAGCCGCGGUAAUACGGAGGAUGCGAGCGUUAUCCGGAUUCAUUGGGUUUAAAGGGUACGUAGGUGGCCCGGUAAGUCAGUGGUGAAAACCUGCCGCUUAACGGUAGGCGUGCCAUUGAUACUGUCGGGCUUGAGUGCAGUUGAGGCAGGCGGAAUGUGUAGUGUAGCGGUGAAAUGCAUAGAUAUUACACAGAACUCCGAUUGCGAAGGCAGCUUGCUAAAGUGCAACUGACGCUGAUGUACGAAAGCGUGGGUAGCGAACAGGAUUAGAAACCCCUGUAGUCC
rnacentral:rRNA from 1 species